rnacentral:misc_RNA from 1 species
AAAAUCAAUUUAUAUUUUUAGGCGCCAUAAAAGGAAAAGGAUUAAUUCAAAUUUUAAUUGUUUAUUAUACUAAUGUAGAUUAUAAGUUGAAAUAAAACAGACUGUUGAACUUAAAAUACUAUAUUAAACACAUGUUUACAAAGUACCUUCUUAAAAAUAAAUGCUUUUUAAUUUCUAAGAAUUAUGUAACUAAUGAAUAGGUUCCGGUUGUUGAGUAAGCAGAAGACCAAAUCUCUUCUUAAUAGUUAUCCUUUGCCGAGAAUAUUUAUCUUCCGGGGAGAAACGUGCUGAAAUAACACGCUCAGAUUAAUUACAUUAGAAAGUACUAUAAUUCAAUAAAUAUAAUAAUUUCGGAUAUUAUUUCUUACCUGGAUGCGCUGAUAAAGUUGGUUUUCCACUUGGAUCUAUCGUCUACAAAAAUAAAACAAUAAGUAUUUAUUCAACAAAUUGUAACAGAAUAAUAAACGUGACAUAUAAAUUGUAUAGGUUAUAAUAAUAUACACACCGCUAAAGUGUAUUGUCGUUCACCAUUUUCAUUUAAAUAAUAUCUUAGAUACAUUUUGAAGAGGUAUUAAUAAGUAAUAAUGUUGAUAAAUUUAUCUUCCUUCAAUAUCAAAUUUUUAGAUUUCGGUAACGGUAAACUAAGAAUCACAAGAACUGACAAGAACUGCAAGAACAACAAAUUAAUUAAUGAACAAAAAGACAGCUAGGGUCGCUAGGGACACGCAAAAAGUAUCGAUACUUUGUGCUAUCGAGUACAUUUUUAUUCGAUACUGAUACUUUUACUCAGGAAGCUUAAAUAAAACACACAGAUAAGCUUCUUGUUGGCUUCUUGCUUUUACUCAAUGUGUACUUUUUGGCAGGU